rnacentral:rRNA from 1 species
AUUGAACGCUGGCGGCAGGCCUAACACAUGCAAGUCGAACGAGUGGCGGACGGGUGAGUAAUGUCUGGGAAACUGCCUGAUGGAGGGAGAUAAGUACGGGAAACGGUAGCUAAUACCGCAUACCAUCGGAUGUGCCCAGGUGGGAUUAGCGAGUAGGUGGGGUAACGGCUCACCUAGGCGACGAUCCCUAGCAGGUCUGAGAGGAUGACUAGCCACACUGGAACUGAGACACGGUCCAGACUCCUACGGGAGGCAGCAGUGGGGAAUAUUGCACAAUGGACGCAAGCCUGACGCAGCCACGCCGCGUGUAUGAAGAAGGCCUUCGGGUUGUAAAAUACUUUCAGCGGGGAGGCGUUACCCGAAGAGGAAGCACCGGCUAACUCCGUGCCAGCAGCCGCGGUAAUAC